UGCAGGCCUUUAUCUUGCUGGUUUCGUAGCAAAAUCGUAAUUCGUUGCAAUUCGCUUUCUCAUUCUAUCUCGAAAUUCGGUGCCGAACGUUACGUGUGUGGAGAUAGAAUAGUUGAAACUUUCGGUUCGGUUCAGUUUAUACGUGAAAAUAAAUGCGAAGUGCAAAAUUAUUCGUCUUUUCGAUAUUGGCCAUAUUUGGGGGCUUCAACGUGCGCGACGUUUUUGGUUUUUCGGAUUUUUUUAGUGCUGUUUUUUUCUACUCGUACUUUUCUUUUACGAGUACCCAGUUACAAAUGUCCAUUUUUAUUCGCGAUUCGUGGUGCGCGAUUUUUCGUGUCGUAACUACGGGCGAAUAUUUUCAGCAAGAUGAUGCCAGAUGCGAUUAGCCGAACGAUGUUUUUUUUCGAGAAGGUGUGGUCCGAUUUCGUACAUGAAAUUCGGUGAGUACGGAUUUUAUGCUGUAAAAGUACCUACUUAUAUAAUAAAAUCUACACUCGUGCAUGAGGAUGAGUAAGUCAUUUUAUGAUCUAGGUACCUAUUUUUAAACAAAUUUCCGGUCAAACAACCAAGUUUAGGUGGCAUUAAUACUACGGGUAAUGUGCAAUAUCACCCUUCAAGCAUAUGUACAUAUAUAUUAGGUACAUAGUUAUUCAAUGACAAUUUUCUCAUUGAAAUUUGUUGAUAAUGUGAUAUGAGGAAAUAUGCCUUCAUCGCCUAAGCGAUGAUUAAAUUAAUCAUCACCAUAGAGAUGAUGAAUAAAAUAACUCCCUUAAACUGCAAGUUCGGUAAUGUGUUAACUCCUACUACUGUGCUACUCCUACUACGUAGCUAUAACGUAAUCGCGCGCAGCAAACGCAUAGAACGCAUCCGAUGCACCCAAAAAUAGUAUAAAUAGAGCAACACGGACGCGAGCCAAACUAGUUGUAUUUAAAAUGGGCUAAACUUCUAAAUAAGUUGAGCUUCCAAAAGAUCUUGGACUCGGCGAUCGCGCGAAGCUGGUUCUUGGUCAGAAAGUGCAUUUAUGUUGAUACGAGUAAGAUGAGAUCCCUCUACGGGGAUGCUCAUCUCCUUUUAUUCAGUCUUCGCCCACUUUUAGUGGUUAAAAUGUUUCUCGCUUCGUGAUUUAAAUUAUCGUAUACGUAAUUAAUCGCGUUCACACCGGAUAUCAUCCGAUUAUGCUAGCCAUCGGAGAUAGUCCUAGAAGAAUAGGUACCUCGUGUAUUACAUUGCUGUCGACCGGCCUAGUAUUAGUGAGCCACCUUGAAAGAGACAGUAGAAGCGGACAUUAUGUAAACCUGGGUGAGUAUAUCUCACCAUUUAUUCCGAAAUUGCAUGCAAUUUCUAGGGUAUCUAAUUACCCACCUUCCGUAAUUCAUUAACGCGAGUCGUAAGGUAUAAGCUUGUGCAUGUACCUAUUAUAGAACAACCCUAUAGUUAUUCUAUACUUUUUUAUCUUUGUACCCUUUUAAUAUGUAUUUGAUUUCAUUAUUUCUGAUUAACAAUAAACAUAUUAUCACUUUAGUGUAA